UGAUAGCUGUGAAGCGUGAGGUUGCUGCUGAUGGCAGGUUUUUCCGCGGAGCGAAUGUCAAGUUAGAAAACUGACGACAA
rnacentral:ncRNA from 1 species